GGAGUUAGCCGGUGCUUCUUCUGUGAGUGAUGUCCUUCCUGCCGGUUAUUGACCCGCAGGCCUUCUUCCUCACUGAAAGUGCUUUACAACCCGAAGGCCUUCUUCACACACGCGGCAUGGCUGGAUCAGGGUUGCCCCCAUUGUCCAAUAUUCCCCACUGCUGCCUCCCGUAGGAGUCUGGGCCGUGUCUCAGUCCCAGUGUGGCUGAUCAUCCUCUCAGACCAGCUACGGAUCGUCGCCUUGGUGAGCCGUUACCUCACCAACCAGCUAAUCCGACAUAGGCUCAUCCGAUAGCGCGAGGCCCGAAGGUCCCCCGCUUUCCCCCGUAGGGCGUAUGCGGUAUUAGCCUGGGUUUCCCCAGGUUAUCCCCCACUACCGGGCAGAUUCCUAUGCAUUACUCACCCGUCCGCCGCUCGCCACCAGGGAGCAAGCUCCCCGUGCUGCCGCUCGACUUGCAUGUGUUAGGCCUGCCGCCAGCGUUCAAUCUGAGCCCAUAGACACAAACCUCGUACGACUAGGACGGGCGGGUCGUCGGACGAACGGGCCGACUAAG
rnacentral:rRNA from 1 species